rnacentral:tRNA from 3 species
GGCACCAUGGCGGAGUGGUGACGCAGCGGAUUGCAAAUCCGUGUACCCCGGUUCGAUUCCGGGUGGUGCCUCCA